CCUACGGGGUGCAGCAGUGGGGGAUAUUGCACAAUGGGGGAAACCCUGAUGCAGCGACGCCGCGUGGGCGAAGAAGUAUUUCGGUAUGUAAAGCCCUAUCAGCAGGGAAGAAGAAAUGACGGUACCUGAGUAAGAAGCACCGGCUAAAUACGUGCCAGCCGCCGCGGUAAUACGUAUGGUUCAAGCUUUAUCCCGAUUUACUGGUGGUAAAGGGAGCGCAGGCGGCACGGCAAUCCUGAUGUGAAAGCCCGCGGCCCAACCGCGGGACAGCAUUGGGAACUACCGGGCUGGAGGGCCGGAGAGGUAGGCGGAAUUGCUAGGGUAGCGGUGAAAUGCGUAGAUAUUAGGAGGAACACCAGUGGCGAAGGCGGCAUACUGGACGGUGACUGACGCUGAGGCUCGAAAGCGUGGGGAGCAAACAGGAUUAGAUACCCCGGGUAGUC
rnacentral:rRNA from 1 species